UCUCAGUUCGGAUUGUAGGCUGAAACUCGCCUACAUGAAGCUGGAGUUACUAGUAAUCGCAGAUCAGAAUGCUGCGGUGAAUGCGUUCCCGGGUCUUGUACACACCGCCCGUCACACCACGGGAGUUGGAGACGCCCGAAGCCGAUUAUCUAACCUUUUGGAAGAAGUCGUCGAAGGUGGAAUCAAUAACUGGGGUGAAGUCGUAACAAGGUAGCCGUAUCGGAAGGUGCGGCUGGAUCACCUCCUUU
rnacentral:rRNA from 1 species